rnacentral:lncRNA from 10 species
CGGCAACAGUGGUGUCACAGUAGGUAAGUGCAGCGAGCAAAACAGGCCACAGAAGUGCGCACUGGUCCACGGUGACCCCAAGGAGGACAUGAUCCCCCUUGUCUGGGAGAUGCAGUCUGACCUGAGCCAUGAAGAAGUGCAGAGUCCCCAAGAGGCCAGAGAGCUCACGUCUGGUUAGAGUCGGGGUGUUUGAUGGGAAGAUGAAAGGAGGAGCUGGCAUCUGAGCUCUUGUAAAUGAAGAAAUUAAAACUGCAAGUUGAAACUGAGUCACUGAUGGCGCCAGAUGUUUCUGGAGCAAAACUGGGAAAGAGGGUGAGCAUUGGAAAGACACCUCCUCCUGUUAUCUUCGAGAAGCCAUUUACUGGGAAAACAAAAACUGAGCUCCAUGAUGCAUAAAUUCCAAAAUGCAGAGGCCAAUUUCUUUCCCUUUGACCACAUGUCGGAAAGGCUCGGGGUUCAGUAACUGGAGGGCCUUGUCUUACCCGGAUGUCACUUCUCUGAGCCAUCCCAGCUAGCAGAGGGGAGAGGAGAGCUACGUUCUCCUGCAAGCAAAUGUCAUCACAUGGUAAGCCGAGGUUCCACUACUGGUG